UACGUAGGCAGCAAGCGUUGUUCGGAGUUACUGGGCGUAAAGGGUGUGUAGGCGGUUCUUUAAGUUUGGUGUGAAAUCUCCCGGCUCAACUGGGAGGUGCGCCGAAUACUGAGGGACUAGAGUACGGGAGAGGAAAGUGGAAUUCCUGGUGUAGCGGUGAAAUGCGUAGAGUAUCAGGAGGAACACCGGUGGUGUAGACGGCUUCUGGACCGUAACUGACGCUGAGACACGAAAGCGUGGGUAGCAAACAGG
rnacentral:rRNA from 1 species